UACGAAGGGUGCAAACGUUGCUCGGAAUUAUUGGGCGUAAAGAGCUCGUAGGCGGUCUGUCGCGUCUGCUGUGAAAACUCAGGGCUUAACCCUGAGCUUGCAGUGGGUACGGGCAGACUAGAGUGCGGUAGGGGAGACUGGAAUUCCUGGUGUAGCGGUGAAAUGCGCAGAUAUCAGGAGGAACACCGGUGGCGAAGGCGGGUCUCUGGGCCGUAACUGACG
rnacentral:rRNA from 1 species